rnacentral:rRNA from 1 species
UACGUAGGGUGCAAGCGUUAAUCGGAAUUACUGGGCGUAAAGCGUGCGCAGGCGGUGAUGUAAGACAGUUGUGAAAUCCCCGGGCUCAACCUGGGAACUGCAUCUGUGACUGCAUCGCUGGAGUACGGCAGAGGGGGAUGGAAUUCCGCGUGUAGCAGUGAAAUGCGUAGAUAUGCGGAGGAACACCGAUGGCGAAGGCAAUCCCCUGGGCCUGUACUGACGCUCAUGCACGAAAGCGUGGGGGAG